rnacentral:rRNA from 1 species
GGUAUUUUGACCGUGCAAAGGUAGCAUAAUCAUUAGUUUUUUAAUUGAAAGCUGGAAUGAAAGGUUGGAUGAGAAAAAAGCUGUCUCUAUUUAAUUUAUUUAGAAUUUUAUUUUUAAGUUAAAAAGCUUAAAUUUAAAUAGAAGACGAGAAGACCCUAUAGAGUUUUAUUAAUUCUUUUUAUAAAAUUAAUAGUAUUUUUUAUUUUUAUAAAAGUAAUUAAUUUAGUUGGGGUGAUUGAAAAAUUAAAUAAACUUUUUUUAUAUAUAUACAUAAAUAUAUGAUUAAUUGAUCCUUAAUUUAAGAUUAAAAGAUAAAAUUACCUUAGGGAUAACAGCGUAAUUUUUUUUGAGAGUUCAAAUCGAAAAAAAAGAUUGCGACCUCGAUGUUGGAUUAAAAUAAAAUUUUGGUGUAGAAGCUAAAG